GUUCAAGGUGUACAGUUUUGACGGGUGUCUUCUGGAGUGCUCAAAUAAGGUUGCCAUGGAUGCCUGUAACUGCACCGCCGGAUGGGAACCCCAGCAAGCAAGAGUCAGUCUGCGGCACUGCUCAGUGAAGGAAGUGAAAAUAUGUUACCAUCAAGUACAGUCGGAAGCCAGGAUGGGGAAGAGUUGUGCAUGUCAGUACCCAUGUGAAGAGACAUCGUAUGACAUACAAGUGUCAUCCAUGGUGCUGCCAUCAAAU